AUGUUGACUAUGAAGAGAUAAGUAAAGGCUAAGUCUUUUAAAGAGAGCUUGUGGUUGGUGUGAACAAGUAAAGUGAGGUUUUGAAAAUGGUCUUGGAGUCAUGUUGUUAUUCGAGCCAGUUGGUAAGGGUAACCCGGGGUCUCCCGUUAUAGAGAGCGAGUAUAAGCUUAAAUUCUAGAUAAAGCCGUACUCAUAGAGGCAAUUUUAGUAAUAAAAUUGUAAAUAAAGGUGGUACCAUGGAGUCUAUUAACUUCAUCCUUUGC
rnacentral:ncRNA from 1 species